AGUGAACGCUGGCGGUAGGCCUAACACAUGCAAGUCGAACGGCAGCACAGUAAGAGCUUGCUCUUACGGGUGGCGAGUGGCGGACGGGUGAGGAAUACAUCGGAAUCUACUUUUUCGUGGGGGAUAACGUAGGGAAACUUACGCUAAUACCGCAUACGACCUACGGGUGAAAGCAGGGGAUCUUCGGACCUUGCGCGAUUGAAUGAGCCGAUGUCGGAUUAGCUAGUUGGCGGGGUAACGGCCCACCAAGGCGACGAUCCGUAGCUGGUCUGAGAGGAUGAUCAGCCACACUGGAACUGAGACACGGUCCAGACUCCUACGGGAGGCAGCAGUGGGGAAUAUUGGACAAUGGGCGCAAGCCUGAUCCAGCCAUACCGCGUGGGUGAAGAAGGCCUUCGGGUUGUAAAGCCCUUUUGUUGGGAAAGAAAAGCAGCAGGCUAAUACCCCGCUGUUCUGACGGUACCCAAAGAAUAAGCACCGGCUAACUUCGUG
rnacentral:rRNA from 1 species